CUACGGGUCGCUGCAGUGGGGAAUAUUGCACAAUGGGGGAAACCCUGAUGCAGCAACGCCGCGUGGAGGAUGACGCAUUUCGGUGUGUAAACUCCUUUUAUAUCCCAAGAUAAUGACGGUAGGAUAUGAAUAAGCACCGGCUAACUCCGUGCCAGCAGCCGCGGUAAUACGGAGGGUGCAAGCGUUACUCGGAAUCACUGGGCGUAAAGGGCGCGUAGGCGGGGUGUCAAGUCAUGAGUGAAAUCCAACGGCUCAACCGUUGAACUGCUUGAGAAACUGGCAGCCUAGAGUAAGGGAGAGGUAGAUGGAAUUGGUGGUGUAGGGGUAAAAUCCGUAGAGAUCACCAGGGAUACCCAUUGCGAAGGCGAUCUGCUGGAACUUUACUGACGCUGAGGCGCGAAAGCGUGGGGAGCAAACAGGAUUAGAUACCCGAGUAGUC
rnacentral:rRNA from 1 species